rnacentral:lncRNA from 1 species
GCUGUGUGCGUACUCGCCGGCCCCCCAGCAGGGCUCAUUGCUUGUGUGCCUUCCUCACUUCCCUUGGCGGGUACACACCGGGCAGCUGGACGGCGUGUGAAUGUGGGGUGUGUGGCGUGUGGGUUUCCUGCAAGUGUGGAGUGUGCUGCUGGAAGCCGUGGUGCCUCAGCUGGGCCAGGCCAGGCAUGUGGGCAGAGGCUCUGAUGGAGAGCCCCGAGUUUGGCUGCCACCGGGUGGAGGCUGUUUCCUGUGGCUGCCGAUGGCUUGAGGCUUCUCCCUGGGAGCCGGCCCUGGACUGGGAUAUUACUCUGAGGCAGGAGCUCUUGGCUCCUCGCUCUGCCCGGUUCAGGGAAGUCUAACCUGACCACCAAAGGAAGGAGUCUCUCCCAGCUCCCUUCCCAGGUCCCUGGCUUCUGGGGGCAGCCCUUGGCAUGGGGAAAGGUCAGCACAGCUGCUUUCCCAUCUUCCUGCUUUGCCUUCCAUCCCUGGCAUGAAAGAAGCCCUGUGUGUGAGGGUUGGGGGCUGGGAGGGGCAGCAGGACCCCUGUCAGCUCCUUGUUGGGACCCUGGCACUGACUGCUGCUGGAUGGCAUGAGGGCUGUGGCUUGGUCUCUCUGGGCCUGAGUUUCUGUCUGCAAAAGGAGUCCCCUCUUGCUCAUGCAGACUAACCCUCUUAUAAACAUGCUGAGGUCUCUUGGACCCCCCUCCCUGUUUCCCAGUCUGCCAUUCCCUGCCAUUCUCACCAAAACUGCCUGUGAGUCUCCUCUUUUGCUGGCAGGAGCACAGGUGCCCAGACCAGUACAGAGAUCCCUGCCAGGGUGGCUUAGAGGUCCCUGUUGUUGGUGGGCUUGGGGUACCUAGAUGAAUAGCAGAAGGAAGGGGAGCUUCUCAAAUCAGAAUGACUCUAGUCCCACAGGGACUGGACACUUAAAACUGGCUUGGGUUGCCCCAGCCCAGGGCCAGUUCCCAGGGAGAAGCUCUCCUAAUCUUGAAAAAAGUCAGCCCCAGACAGUCUUUCCAAAGAGAUGCAGGCAGAGGGCUGUGAAAGGCUCUUGGUGUCAGGAGUGGAGGACGUGGUGGUUGGCAGGUCCUUGUCCUGCCUCUCCCCCAGUGUGGAUCAG